GACGAACCGUGCGAACGUUGUUCGGAAUCACUGGGCUUAAAGGGCGCGUAGGCGGGUGUGCAAGUCUGUGGUGAAAGCCUCCAGCUUAACUGGAGAAGUGCCGUGGAUACUGCAUAUCUUGAGGAGGGUAGGGGCAUCUGGAACGGUCGGUGGAGCGGUGAAAUGCGUUGAUAUCGACCGGAACUCCGGUGGCGAAGGCGAGGUGCUGGACCCUUUCUGACGCUGAGGCGCGAAAGCCAGGGGAGCAAACGGG
rnacentral:rRNA from 1 species